rnacentral:rRNA from 1 species
UACAGAGGGGGCAAGCGUUGUUCGGAAUUACUGGGCGUAAAGGGCGCGUAGGCGGCCUUCUAAGUCGAACGUGAAAUCCCUGGGCUCAACCCAGGAACUGCGUCCGAUACUGGAAGGCUUGAAUCCGGGAGAGGGAUGCGGAAUUCCAGGUGUAGCGGUGAAAUGCGCAGAUAUCGGGAGGAACACCUAUGGCGAAGGCAGCUCGCUGGGACGUUACUGACGCUGAGACGCGAAAGCGUGGGGAGCAAACAGG